GUAAAGAGCUCGUAGGCGGUUUGUCGCGUCUGCUGUGAAAACCCGAGGCUCAACCUCGGGCCUGCAGUGGGUACGGGCAGACUAGAGUGCGGUAGGGGAGAUUGGAAUUCCUGGUGUAGCGGUGGAAUGCGCAGAUAUCAGGAGGAACACCGAUGGCGAAGGCAGAUCUCUGGGCCGUAACUGACGCUGAGGAGCGAAAGGGUGGGGAGCAAACAGGCUUAGAUACCCUGGUAGUCCACCCCGUAAACGUUGGGAACUAGUUGUGGGGUCCAUUCCACGGAUUCCGUGACGCAGCUAACGCAUUAAGUUCCCCGCCUGGGGAGUACGGCCGCAAGGCUAAAACUCAAAGGAAUUGACGGGGACCCGCACAAGCGGCGGAGCAUGCGGAUUAAUUCGAUGCAACGCGAAGAACCUUACCAAGGCUUGACAUACACGAGAACGCUGCAGAAAUGUAGAACUCUUUGGACACUCGUGAACAGGUGGUGCAUGGUUGUCGUCAGCUCGUGUCGUGAGAUGUUGGGUUAAGUCCCGCAACGAGCGCAACCCUCGUUCUAUGUUGCCAGCACGUAAUGGUGGGAACUCAUGGGAUACUGCCGGGGUCAACUCGGAGGAAGGUGGGGAUGACGUCAAAUCAUCAUGCCCCUUAUGUCUUGGGCUUCACGCAUGCUACAAUGGCCGGUACAAAGGGCUGCAAUACCGCGAGGUGGAGCGAAUCCCAAAAAGCCGGUCCCAGUUCGGAUUGAGGUCUGCAACUCGACCUCAUGAAGUCGGAGUCGCU
rnacentral:rRNA from 1 species